GUCCACAUCAAAGUGAAACACCAAUUCCUGUAUGAUCACCAUAGUUAAGCAACAUUGAACCUUGUCAGUACCUAGAUGGGUGACUGCUUGGGAAUAUAAUGUGCUGUAAG